AAAGUACUCCCUCCGUCCCACGAAAAUGGUCUAAAAUUUGCCUAGAUAGAUUUGGAUGUAUCUAGACACUAAAUAGCAUCUAGAUACAUCAAAAUUUUGACAAACCUCAGACAAGUUCCAUAGGACAAAGGGGGUACUAA
rfam:Triticum aestivum genome assembly, contig: Triticum_aestivum_CS42_TGACv1_scaffold_362357_4DS